GCCAGAUAUAAUGAAUAAGGUGUGCAUGCUGAGAGAGAAGUCCCAAAACUUGAUAUAGAGGAAUUUGCUUUAUGUCUAAUGAGUUGG